ACAUUUGCUGCUUCUCUGCAUUUUUGCUGAAGGUCCGUGCAUUUGAAGGAAGGACCUUGCUGUCUCCCAGCUCCUGUGGGCAUUAGGUUUCAUGAAUGUCUCUUGGGAAGAGGACAGCUCUGUAGAGCCUAAGUUUCAAAAGUAAUUUUAAAGAUUGCAUCCAAGAGAGAAGCAGUGAGAUGCACAGUGGGGAAAAUGAACCCAGCAGUCCAUCC
rnacentral:lncRNA from 1 species